rnacentral:rRNA from 1 species
AUUGAACGCUGGCGGCAGGCCUAACACAUGCAAGUCGAACGGUAGCACAGAGAGCUUGCUCUCGGGUGACGAGUGGCGGACGGGUGAGUAAUGUCUGGGAAACUGCCCGAUGGAGGGGGAUAACUACUGGAAACGGUAGCUAAUACCGCAUAACGUCGCAAGACCAAAGUGGGGGACCUUCGGGCCUCACACCAUCGGAUGUGCCCAGAUGUGGAUUAGCUAGUAGGUGGGGUAACGGCUCACCUAGGCGACGAUCCCUAGCUGGUCUGAGAGGAUGACCAGCCACCCUGGAACUGGGACACGGUCCAGACUCCUACGGGAGGCAGCAGUGGGGAAUAUUGCACAAUGGGCGCAAGCCUGAUGCAGCCAUGCCGCGUGUAUGAAGAAGGCCUUCGGGUUGUAAAGUACUUUCAGCGGGGAGGAAGGCGGUGAAGUUAAUAGCUUCACCGAUUGACGUUACCCGCAGAAGAAGCACCGGCUAACUCCGUGCCAGCAGCCGCAGUAA